ACGGAGGGGACUAGCGUUGUUCGGAAUUACUGGGCGUAAAGCGCACGUAGGCGGAUUUGUAAGUCAGGGGUGAAAUCCCGGGGCUCAACCUCGGAACUGCCUUUGAUACUGCAAAUCUCGAGUCCGGAAGAGGUGAGUGGAAUUCCUAGUGUAGAGGUGAAAUUCGUAGAUAUUAGGAAGAACACCAGUGGCGAAGGCGGCUCACUGGUCCGGUACUGACGCUGAGGUGCGAAAGCGUGGGGAGCAAACAGG
rnacentral:rRNA from 1 species